UGGGGAAUUUUGGACAAUGGGGGCAACCCUGAUCCAGCCAUCCCGCGUGUGCGAUGAAGGCCUUCGGGUUGUAAAGCACUUUUGGCAGGGAAGAAACAGCCUGGGAUAAUACCCCGGGCGACUGACGGUACCUGCAGAAUAAGCACCGGCUAACUACGUGCCAGCAGCCGCGGUAAUACGUAGGGUGCAAGCGUUAAUCGGAAUUACUGGGCGUAAAGCGUGCGCAGGCGGUUUGGAAAGAAAGGUGUGAAAUCCCAGGGCUUAACCUUGGAACUGCACUUUUAACUACCGAGCUAGAGUACGUCAGAGGGGGGUAGAAUUCCACGUGUAGCAGUGAAAUGCGUAGAGAUGUGGAGGAAUACCGAUGGCGAAGGCAGCCCCCUGGGAUGAUACUGACGCUCAUGCACGAAAGCGUGGGGAGCAAACAGGAUUAGAUACCCUGGUAGUCCACGCCCUAAACGAUGUCAACUAGCUGUUGGGGUUUAUUAACCUUAGUAGCGCAGCUAACGCGUGAAGUUGACCGCCUGGGGAGUACGGUCGCAAGAUUAAAAC
rnacentral:rRNA from 1 species